AUGUCUCUGUGGCGCAAUCGGUUA
rnacentral:piRNA from 2 species